UCCGGCUUAACGCCGGCAGUCCCGUUAGAGUCCCCGGCACCCGAAGGUCCGCUGGUAACUAACGGCAGGGGUUUCGCUCGUUAAGGGACUUAACCCGACACUUCACAGCACGAGCUGACGACAGCCAUGCAGCACCUGUGCAUGUUCCACGGCAAGCCGCGUUGCUCCCCUUUCAGGGAGUUAAUCCAUGCAUGUCAAACCCAGGAUAAGGUUCUUCGCGUUGCUUCGAAUUAAGCCACAUGCUCCACCGCUUGUGUGAGCCCCCGUCAAUUCCUUUGAGUUUUAGCCUUGCGACCGUACUCCCCAGGCGGUGCACUUAACGCUUUAGCUACGGCCCGGAUGGCAUCAGAACCUCCCGAACCUAGUGCACAUCGUUUACGGCGUGGACUAC
rnacentral:misc_RNA from 1 species